rnacentral:RNase_P_RNA from 4 species
AAGGCAAAUUGGUCAAUUACCUCGACGAAAAGUCGGGGAGGAAAGUCCGGACUCCACAUAGAAAAUGGUAGCGGGUAAUACCCGUCUGGAGCAAUCCAAGAGGUGCGAGCAGAGACGUGCGAAACCGAAAGGUUGAGCACCCCGCUUGAAAAGGCGGGGCGAAUCCAAUAGUAAUAUUGGGGUGAAACGGCUAAAUCCUUACCUGGGAGCAAGGCUGUGUCUUGUUCUACACUAGUAAGAACAAGAAAUGCCGCUUGACCCCGACGGUAACGUCGGGGCUAGAUAAAUUAUUGAUCACGACAGAAUCCGGCUUAUAGAUUUGCCUUGAUA